GCUGCAGGCAUGCCUUUAUAGCAACAUAAAAUAGACUAAGACAUUAAUUAAAAUAUUGAAAGAUAAAGUCACUGAACUUUUAAAGAAAAUAGAAGAAGCCUGGGCAACAUAGUGAGACCCCAUCUCUUUAAAAAUGUUUUAAAACUUAGCCGGGUAUGGUGAUGCGCACCUGUGGUCCUAGCUAUUCAGGAGGCUGAGGUGUAUUACCUGAUCCUGGGAGGUCAAGGGAGCAGUGAGCCAGGAUGGUGGUGCUGCACCCCGGCCUGGGUGACAUUGUAGUUUUAUGUCAAGUUCCUUUUUNNNNNNNNNNCUGGGAUUACAGGCGUGAGCCACCGCGCCCGGCCUAUGUCAAGUUCUUUACAGUAGUCCCCUCUCAUCUUUAUCCCCCAUUUGGAACUAUCUACAGUAGUUCCAGGACCCCCCCUCCCAGUGGAUGAUUGAAACCAUGGAUAGUACCAAACCCUAUAUAUAUAUUAUGUUUUUCCUAUACAUACAUACCUAUGAUGUUUAAUUUCUAAAUUAGGCAGAGUAAGAGAUUAACAACAACUAAUAAUGUAAUAGAACAGUUAUAACAAUAUACUAUAAUAAAAGCUACAUGAAUGUGGUUUCUCCCUCUCAAAAUGUGUUACUGUACUCACCUAUCUUUGGUCCAUGGUUGUCUGUGGGUGACUGAAACUGCAUAUAAGGCAGGGGACUACUGUGACCACAGGUGUUGGAAGGCAGCAUAGCAGAGUAGUUAGGGUCAGGACUGUGGAGGAAGACUGCCUAGGUUCAUAUUAUGAUGUAAACUCUCCAUGCCUCAAUUUUCUUAUCUAAUGCGGAGAUAAUAAUAGUAACACAUUUGUAAAGUUAUUAUAAGUAUUAAAUGAGAAAAUACAUGUAAAACACUUAGAGUAGCACAGGUCAUCACUUACUUAGUAUGUAGUAAGUAUUUGAUGAGGUUAGUUACUAUUGUUAUUGAGCGGUGAAUCAGUUAGGAAUGCUUUCGGCUGCAAGGAGGAG
rnacentral:lncRNA from 1 species